AGUGAACGCUGGCGGUAGGCCUAACACAUGCAAGUCGAACGGCAGCACAGUAAGAGCUUGCUCUUACGGGUGGCGAGUGGCGGACGAGUGAGGAAUACAUCGGAAUCUACUUUUUCGUGGGGGAUAACGUAGGGAAACUUACGCUAAUACCGCAUACGACCUACGGGUGAAAGCAGGGGAUCUUCGGACCUUGCGCGAUUGAAUGAGCCGAUGUCGGAUUAGCUAGUUGGCGGGGUAAAGGCCCACCAAGGCGACGAUCCGUAGCUGGUCUGAGAGGAUGAUCAGCCACACUGGAACUGAGACACGGUCCAGACUCCUACGGGAGGCAGCAGUGGGGAAUAUUGGACAAUGGGCGCAAGCCUGAUCCAGCCAUACCGCGUGGGUGAAGAAGGCCUUCGGGUUGUAAAGCCCUUUUGUUGGGAAAGAAAAGCAGCAGGUUAAUACCCCGCUGUCCUGACGGUACCCAAAGAAUAAGCACCGGCUAACUUCGUG
rnacentral:rRNA from 1 species